rnacentral:rRNA from 1 species
UACGGGGGGGGCAAGCGUUGUUCGGAAUUACUGGGCGUAAAGCGUGCGUAGGCGGUGUCUUAAGUUUGUUGUGAAAUCUCCCGGCUUAACCGGGAGGGUGCGGCGAAUACUGAGAUGCUGGAGUGCCGGAGAGGUAAGCGGAAUUCCUGGUGUAGCGGUGAAAUGCGUAGAUAUCAGGAGGAACACCUGCGGUGAAGACGGCUUACUGGACGGUAACUGACGCUGAGGCACGAAAGCGUGGGUAGCAAACAGG